rnacentral:misc_RNA from 1 species
AAGUCGUAACAAGGUAACCGUAGGUGAACCUGCGGUUGGAUCAUUAAAGAAUUUUAAAGGUUUUCGGACCUUUAGCUUUAAAUUGGGUUAGUUCUUCCCUUAAAAGAAGACUAACUUCAAACCUUGUGUGAAUUGUAAACUGUCUUUGGUAAGAAUUGAAUGGGUUCUCUUCUUGUAAGAGUUUCCUUUAUCGCUUACCAAAAUUAAACUUUAAACAUUUGUUUUUUAUUUAGUCUUUAAAUCAAUUAUUAAAUUGAAAACAACUUUUGACAACGGAUCUCUUGGCUCUC